rnacentral:rRNA from 1 species
GACGAACGCUGGCGGCGUGCUUAACACAUGCAGUCGAACGGAAAGGCCCUGCUUUUGUGGGGUGCUCGAGUGGCGAACGGGUGAGUAACACGUGAGUAACCUGCCCUUGACUUUGGGAUAACUUCAGGAAACUGGGGCUAAUACCGGAUAGGAGCUCCUGCUGCAUGGUGGGGGUUGGAAAGUUUCGGCGGUUGGGGAUGGACUCGCGGCUUAUCAGCUUGUUGGUGGGGUAGUGGCUUACCAAGGCUUUGACGGGUAGCCGGCCUGAGAGGGUGACCGGCCACAUUGGGACUGAGAUACGGCCCAGACUCCUACGGGAGGUAGCAGUGGGGAAUAUUGCACAAUGGGCGGAAGCCUGAUGCAGCAACGCCGCGUGCGGGAUGACGGCCUUCGGGUUGUAAACCGCUUUCGCCUGUGACGAAGCGUGAGUGACGGUAAUGGGUAAAGAAGCACCGGCUAACUACGUG